rnacentral:ncRNA from 1 species
AUUACCGGACUCACAAAACCCAACCACAAAUUCGGUUGGUGCGUCUGGCCGGGUCGGGGCGCUCUGUAAACCGCCCAUCCUCAUCCCGUGAAAUCGCUUCGCGUGGAGUGCUUACAACGUAGGCUGAGGGAACAACAAAAGCCACGGGCCACCGCGCCCGUGGUCGUUUACUACUGCCAUGACUCG